UACGUAGGGGCCGAGCGUUGUCCGGAGUUAUUGGGCGUAAAGCGCGCGCAGGCGGCUUCGCGCGUCCGACGUGAAAGCCCCCGGGCUUAACCGGGGAGGGUCGUUGGGUACGGCGGAGCUUGAGGGCGGGAGAGGUCGGUGGAAUUCCCGGUGUAGUGGUGAAAUGCGUAGAGAUCGGGAGGAACACCUGUGGCGAAGGCGGCCGACUGGGCCGACCC
rnacentral:rRNA from 1 species